UAGCAAUCCGCCUACAUGUUUCUUAUGCUCAGUUCAACGUGUUGAUAUUUUCCGAUAAUAUCUAGGCCUAUAUUCAAAAUCAAAGGCUAACAUUGUAUUAAGAUGGUCGAACCAUAACUUUACACAAUGAAUAGUGAUACUGAAGUGAACAACAAAUCACUUGUGUUAUAUAAUCCUCAAAGUGUUCAUGCUAACACAACAAAAGACGAUGUUCCUGAAAUAAGUGGAGAUGAGCAGAAUAUUCAUGGAAUAUUAAUAUUCAGCCCUCAAAGUAAACAUGGAAGUAACAAUAGCAGCACCAUAGUAAAGAGCAGUGGAAAUGAAGACAGUAGUCAUGCAACAAUUGCAUUCAGUCCCCAAAGUAAGCAUGGAAGCAACAGCAUUAAACAAGGAAAG